AACUCAUACCAAGGAGCCAAGGAGGUCGAAGAUUCAGUGAGUUAUCCUUCCACCAUGUUUUUGAUACGACGCGAGUCAACUUCUUCGUAAACUACGAAAAAUCGUCCAAAAUUGCAGUGAUCACGCUUAAUGUCUCGCAGCACUCGACACGAUCGCGUCUCCAGGUAUAACGUGACGACAUACAGAGUGCCUUACCCCGUGCCCGCCGGGUCGAGCCUCGCCGCGGGAAUAACAAGAUUUCAGAUCUAACCUUCCCAUCAAAGAUAUCUUUCCAAAAACUAGAAGAAAAUCGACGCUUUUAAAACAAAAAGGUUAUCAACAUUUUGUAUAGUACGGUUAGCUGGAAAUUAUUUUUAGAGAGCCAGAGAUUUAAUCAA